rnacentral:rRNA from 1 species
CCUACGGGGAGCAGCAGUGAGGAAUAUUGGUCAAUGGGCUUACGCCUGAACCAGCCAAGUCGCGUGAGGGAAGACUGCCCUAUGGGUUGUAAACCUCUUUUGUCAGGGAGCAACGCCGGCUACGUGUAGCCGGACUGAGAGUACCUGAAGAAAAAGCAUCGGCUAACUCCGUGCCAGCAGCCGCGGUAAUACGGAGGAUGCGAGCGUUAUCCGGAUUUAUUGGGUUUAAAGGGUGCGUAGGCGGAAUGCCAAGUCAGCGGUAAAAUCGCGGGGCUCAACCUCGCUCCGCCGUUGAAACUGGCGGUCUUGAGUGGGCGAGAGGUAUGCGGAAUGUGUGGUGUAGCGGUGAAAUGCAUAGAUAUCACGCAGAACUCCGAUUGCGAAGGCAGCAUACCGGCGCCCAACUGACGCUGAAGCACGAAAGCGUGGGUAUCGAACAGGAUUAGAUACCCUAGUAGUC